rnacentral:rRNA from 1 species
GGGGGAUAUUGCACAAUGGAGGAAACUCUGAUGCAGCAACGCCGCGUGAGGGAAGAAGGUCUUCGGAUUGUAAACCUUUGUCCUUGGUGACGAAACAAAUGACGGUAGCCAAGGAGGAAGCUCCGGCUAACUACGUGACAGCAGCCGCGGUAAUACGUAGGGAGCAAGCGUUGUCCGGAUUUACUGGGUGUAAAGGGUGCGUAGGCGGCUUUUUAAGUCGGGCGUGAAAGCUGUGGGCUUAACCCACAAAUUGCGUUCGAAACUGGAGGGCUUGAGUGAAGUAGAGGUAGGCGGAAUUCCCGGUGUAGCGGUGAAAUGCGUAGAGAUCGGGAGGAACACCAGUGGCGAAGGCGGCCUACUGGGCUUUAACUGACGCUGAAGCACGAAAGCAUGGGUAGCAAAC